AUUGAACGCUGGCGGCAUGCCUUACACAUGCAAGUCGAACGGCAGCACGGGGCAACCUGGUGGCGAGUGGCGAACGGGUGAGUAAUGCAUCGGAACGUGCCAUUGAGUGGGGGAUAACGUAGCGAAAGUUGCGCUAAUACCGCAUAUUCUGUGAGCAGGAAAGCAGGGGACCGCAAGGCCUUGCGCUCUUUGAGCGGCCGAUGUCAGAUUAGCUAGUUGGUGAGGUAACGGCUUACCAAGGCGACGAUCUGUAGCGGGUCUGAGAGGAUGAUCAGCCACACUGGAACUGAGACACGGUCCAGACUCCUACGGGAGGCAGCAGUGGGGAAUAUUGCGCAAUGGGCGAAAGCCUGACGCAGCCACGCCGCGUGAGCGAUGAAGGCCUUCGGGUCGUAAAGCUCUGUGGGGAGAGACGAAGAAAGCCCGUGAAGAGCGGGCCUUGACGGUAUCUCCUUAGCAAGCACCGGCUAACUCCGUG
rnacentral:rRNA from 1 species